GCUCACUUCGGCAGAGCAUAUACUAAAAUUGGAACGACACAGAAGAUUAGCGUGGCCCCUGCACAAGGAUGACACGCAAAUCUGUGAUGCGUUAAAAAAAGGA
rnacentral:snRNA from 1 species